GCGAGACUGACGGAAAAGGGCGGGAGGAGCGCCAGGCCUCGCCUCGCCGGACACCUCGCCGAACGCCUCACUGGACAGCAGAAAUUUCAGAGCACUGCAAUCUUGUGCCUUGUUAUUGUUCCUGCUCAACCUUCCCUUUUCUCAUGGAAGAAGCAACCUGAUGAAUUUUUUUCAAUACUUCUGAAAUGGAAGAAGAGGCUAACAAACAAGAGGCCAACAAUGCACACCAUGAUUCCACUACAACUAUACUGCUUGGUUUGGUACGUUUGGUACCUCAAGUUGGCAUGGAAUUUAGAACAUCAGAUGAGGCUUGGGCAUUUUGGCUUAGCUAUGGUGGACAUAAAGGAUUCGAGGUUAGAAAAAAGUAUACAAACAAAAGGCCAUCUGAUGGUAAAAUUACAUCAUGUAGAUUUGUUUGUGCAAAAGAGGGUCGUCGAUCGCAGGACAAAAGAGAUCAUUUAACAAAGUGCCCUCGAGCUGAAACUAGAACUGAAUGUCAGGUCUAUAUGAAUCUUAAAAUGGAUCGAAAGAAGGAAAUCUUGAAGGUGUCAGAGCUGGUUUUGGAACACAACCAUGGACUACACCUACCAGAAACAUUGCACUUAAUGGUCUCCUAAAGGAAAAUUACAGAUUUACAGGCUUUUGAAAUAGAAACGGCAGAUGAUGUGGGAAUUGGGCCAAAAGCAGCGCAUGAGUUGGCUAGUCGUCAAGUUGGUGGACCACUCAAUCUUAACUACACCCUUCGUGAUCACAAGAACUAUCUGCGAUCCAAGCGGCAACGGGAGAUGGGAUAUGACCAAGCUGGUAGCAUGCUUAAGUAUUUUCAACAUAAAAUUGCUGAAAAUCCAUCGUUUCAAUAUGCAUUGCAAAUGGAUUGUGAUGAACAAAUAGCAACCAUAUUCUGGGCAGAUGCCAAAAUGAUCAUGAAUUAUGCACAUUUUGGUGAUGUUGUUAGUUUUGACACUACUUUUGGAACAAACAAGGAGAGUAGGUCUUUUGGUGUCUUUGUUGGAUUCAACUAUUUUAGAGAAACUGUAGUUUUUGGUGCUACUCUCUUGUAUGAUGAAACUAUUGAUUCCUUCAAGUGGUUGUUUGAGACCUUUCUAAAAGCUCAUAAUGGACAGCAGCCUAAAACAUUUUAUACAGAUCAAGAUGCUGCAAUGGAAAAGGCAGUUGGAGAAGUGUUUGAUGAAGCAUGGCAUGGAUUGUGCACCUUUCACAUCAUGCAAAAUGCUGUCAAACAUUUGCAUGAGGAGAAUGAAGAAAAGAAAAAAGAGAAGAAGAAAGAGAAGAAGAAAAAAAGGGAAGAAUAAGGAGAUCAAUGAAAAGGAAUAUGAAGAAACGAGCAUUCUAUCUGAUUUUAGU